AACUUUGUGCAGUGCGACGCCAACACGUAACGCGUUUGGCUUGCUAUUUUAGGCUUCCUCAUUUGCAGCAGCUAACCAAACACGGCAGGGUUGAAAUACGGGGUUGGGUUUGGGUUAGAGUUUGGGGGGUUUGGGUUUGGGGCUAAAAUGGGGGGUUUUCCAUGCCGCCGGACUGGCUUAUGCAAGCCAAACAACAGCUGACCCAGAUAUGUAUUUUAGCUACGAAGCGUAGCCAGUGGUGAACUAAAGCCAAAACGGAUUAAAUCCUUUAAAAAGUAAAAGCUUCUUGUUCUCAAUCAAAACCAAACCUCUAAAUGGCCGCACAUGCUCGUAUGAGCCAUGUACUAUUAAAUGGUUACAAAGCGACAGAUGAACUAGUCUAGCCUUGAAAUACUCUUUAGUUUAAUUAUGCGCAAAUGCAAGUAGUAUAUUAAAUAAAACGCCCAUCAUUCAUCAUACAACUGAAAAAAGUAGCAGAUACCUAUGUAUAUUAACUAAGUACUUUGAUUUUUUUUUUGACAGAGUCAUUCAUAGCUCUUCAUAGACAACAAAGCAGUGUAUGGAUUUAAGAGUGUAUUGGCAGAAGGACGUUGCAUGUUGUAUGUGGUAUUUGGCAGUGGCAGCUGGGGGUGGCAGCCUUGACCCGACGUUACAGCCCGUCUGCAUAAAGGACACACAUGUGCGCAGGAUAACAAAGGACCCGAAAAGAGCGUAGGGAUAGAGAUGGGGAUGGAACUCAGACUCCUGCCGGCAGAAGCUUUCCGGAAGCUUCACUCUCAUCCUCUCUUUCUAUCCUUGCACAGUCGUCUCUCUCUCUUUCGGGAACUUUGUAGGAGCAUCGGCAGCCGCCUCCUGGGGAAGAAAAUGGAAAAUCGACAGCCACGGGCGAGUGUUUCAGCUUCCGUUUCCUGGCCGCCUGGUGCCAAUUGGCUCCAUGGAGAAAAUGGCCGCUCCACACACAACACAAACAAAGCAGCGGCCCCUUGGACCCGAUUGCCCGCUUCCCGAUUCCGGACCCCUUCGUAAGAUGGAAGUCUAAGACAUGGACCAACUUCUUGGAUGCCGCACAAUCCAGAAUAAAGUACCUUCAGCAGGGGAAGUUUCAGCCACUCCAGUGUUUCCCCAGUCGCAAAAAUGGUUAAGGAUUUUUCGCGGGAUGGAUGGUUUGAAGGGUGGGGGGGUGGUGGCUGGGCCAAAGGGGCGGAACCGGGAGCCAGCCAUUGAGCAACUCUAACUCAAAUACUCCGCCUCAAAUCAACCGGCGAGCAGCAAAUGGCACAAGCUGGAUGGCAGACAGGAGCAACAGGAGUCGCCAAACAGGAGCUAUGACGUCAGCAACAGGAUAAGACAGAGACAAGACGAAAAGCGUGCGAGAGAACUGUGCAGGAGUGUUAAAAGCUGAUUGCACUGAGAAAAUAAGCUUAGUUAGUGCUUGCAUUUCGAUAGAAUCUUUUUAAAAAAGUCUUUAAAAAAUUUAAAAACAAAAACAUACAUGGAAUACAUUAUUAUUAUCUAUAAUAAGAAAAUGUAGCGGUUUGAAGUUUCUCACAGUUUUGUAGCACUGUGAAACAAUUCAUUUCUUUGAGUGCAGAAAGCUUUCGGUUUUUUUAAAAGCUUUUGUUGCGUCUCCUGCUGUGAUGUCAUAUAUUCGUCGACCCCUGGGGAACCCUCGCUCCAUCUCAGUCGCUUGCAUCAGGGGUUUGUGCGCAAAACAUCAAUAAAUAGAUUUCCCUGAUUUUUCAACAGGACGGCAGAAAUGACAGCAGGAGUCAGGUAACAAACAAUCGCAAGUCGUCGCCAACAAAACUCCAAAACACCCCCAAGGCCCCCCAAUGCAUAGAUAUUCCACAACAGCCGUGAAAGCUUUGGGUAUAUCGUUUUUAGAAGGGGCUCGUCGGCUGGCUGUGGGUUAAUCAGCUGUGCGUGUGGUCAGGGGUUAAGGGCUUGCUAAUUUCCACAGAGGUUUCCAUAUGUUGUUGGCCACAAAAAGAUACUUAAUUGGGGUUGGUUCUAUCUAUUUCUUUACAACAAAGUGGGUGUGCUUGUAUGCCGCCAAUAUCUAGACAACCAGGCCAGAAACAAAAGAAAUAGAAACGGGCCAACACAGUUCAAUAAAAAUAAACCAGCAAUUAAAACUUGUGUUUUGGCUAAAAGCAAAUUUGUGUGUGAUGAGUCGUUUUUGAAAAGAAAAUGUCAGCCUUGCGCCCUAUGAAAAAAGUUGAACACUUUUAUCGCAAUCCGAAGAAUGACAACUAUUAUAACAAUUAUUUAUUUUCAAAACUUUAAAACCCAUUUGUUGGCCAUUAUGGAAUGGAAAUCAAGAAAGUGGCUUUAAGAAGCGGAAAAUAUUAAUUAAAAUUGUAAACAAAAUUAUUAGACAUUAUUGUGUGUAAUACUUUUAGUUAUUUUUAAAGGAAGUUUGAUUACUAAUAUAUUUUCUCAUGCUGCCAUCUCUAUUUUCUAUUCAUUUUGCCAUCAUACCUAGUAUGUAUUCGUUCAAAAGUCCAUAUUUUUUUAAGCAGUUUUAACCAAAUUGCCGGGUGGGCUCGGUAAAGGCGCGUGUUAGUCAUAGACAUUUUAUAUUUACUGUUUAUUUGUGUUUGGCACAUUGGCUUGUGUUGUUUGUCUGGAAACAAAUAGCACGCAAGGCUAUUUCUAUUAACCAACCGACGAUAGCACCCCCAUUUCCUUUGAGGGUUUCAAGUCACUCGUUCUUUGGACAACACCCCCGCAUUCCUCUUUGAAAGAUACUUUUUUUCUUGAAUUUUAAUGGCGUGUCAGAAUUUAUUGGCCACGUUUAGUCGGCCGUUUGAGCCACACGCCCAUCGCUAAUUAUCCGGCAGCGGGAGAUGCAACCACAGGAAGUCGUCCAAGUGGCCACAGGCAUUCGGCAAUACCCCAACUGCAACAACAACAACCACAACGACAAAUCAAUCAGUUGCGGAAACGAUAGAGAUCGCAUGGAUCCAAUCAAAGGAAAGUAAAACAAAUUUGCAUGAAUAACAUGAUUCGAAGAAGGUUAAUAAAGGAAACUAUAGCUACGCGCCACUGAUUGAGAUCUAUACUUCAAAUUGUCUGUUGUCAAUAAAAUAAUUUAUUUAAGACGUUCAAAAAAAUGCCUUUUAAUGCUGUUUAACAAUAAGAAAUGGAAUAUUAUUUUUUUUAAUCCAUUUAAAAUCAUUUAAAUCGAUUCAUUCUACAAUACUAUAAAUUAUACUAUAAAUACAUACACUUUCUGUUACUGCUCUUUUCCAUUAAAGACAUUUAAUACUUUUAUCUAGUGCUGACGUCACCCGAAGGGACUCCAACGAAAUUACAAUUAUGUACUUUUCGUUGUUAUUUCUCUGUUUUUCCUCGUUCUCUUUCGUAUACACAUUGCUCUCCUUAAAGACUCUUUUGUGGAAUACACCUAAAAUUUUGUUGUUAUUUGCCCAUUUCAUGUAUCGCAUGCAACAAGUUUCUCGCAUUGAAAUAUCAAAAACAUUCACAGGAAACCAUCAAAAUGCGCAGCGCGAAGUUGAAUAUCGAAAAAGGCUCUCUCAGUUUCUCUCUCCGAAUAUUCAUCUUUCUCAAGUGAGUGUGUGUUUUUGGGUAUAGUGCCCCCUGUGUGUUGGCCUCUGCUCUCUGCUCUUUUCUCCGCACUUUUCCCCAUUUCUUCCGCUUUUCCUACAAAGGCCUCGCGUCAUUGCACUCGUGUGCUUGCUGUUGUGCGGUGGGCGUUGGGUGGUGGAAAAUCAACACCCCACAUUUGAGGGAGUUGGGGAAAAUGCGUUUAGGGGGUUGCCAAUGGCAGGGAGCCAAACAAAUGUUGGGAACUCAUUGGGGUGGCUCCCAAACAGUGGGCCGUGAAAAAUUAUCCAGAAGUAACUGCCAAUUACGCCCGGUAAGUACUUCAAUUUUUCCAUAAACGAUUAAACGAACCAGUGUAAAAAUACCAAGUCGAUGCAGAUUUGCAUCCUUUUGUAUGAUGAAAAUAUGAGCAUUUGCGAGUGUGCCUGGUUCUAGUAAAAUCCAAUUUCCCAAUUUCCUAAUUUUUUUUACUAAAUAACUAAAUCAUUAGUUUGUUUUUAAGCGGAAACAUAUUUGUUUACACAUCUGAGUAUUCGAACUGUUAGUCAGGCGUUGAGACAUAGCAAUAACUCAUGUUUACUGGUAACGAGGUGUCCGACAUUAAACUUGCAACUUGAAAACAUGCUAACUUGGCCAACCCACAAAUUCAUCAGAGGGUAACCCAUAGAUCGACCUUGAAGUUAUUCACACUAGAUAGUCACCGAAUUUCGUAUGGUAAACCGAAUUUCCAUGUUCAAUGUAAUCGGCACACUGUGACUGCGAAUCACACUGCGUUUGCGACUGAUGACGAGAUCUCCAUUAAGUUAUGAGCUAUCCGGGUAGCAAACGCAGUGAAGAUGGUGGAACAGCAAGACGAUUCCACUUUCGACUUCGGUUUGCCGCGGUUGAAAAGUCAAAGUCAAAUGCAAGACAUAACACAAUAAGAAAAUUCAGCUAAGAGCAACAAGAGCAACAAAGUCCGGACCAACAAUAAUAAUCGCAGAAAGGAAAACGAGUUUUUACUUUUAUAUUUUUCAGUGGCUCCACUUCGGGUUGGGGGUAUUCAUUUCCAAACGCGAUUCAAUUGCAGUUGUUUGUUGGUUUGCUGAUGUUGCUUGUUGCUGUUGCUGUUGCUGUUGCUGUUAUUGUUGGUUGUCGCUUGGGCAAAUUGUGGCCAUAAUGACGAAUUGCAUAAGCCGGAAUCGUAAUUAUAAUCAGUGAAUGCGACCGCUUUAGUUGCUCAUCCGCCAUUGGUCAUACAGUCAAACUUGCCCCUGUAAAGUGUAAAAUAUUCAAUUUCUGUACUCAUCGGAGUUGAUGAUUGAAAGUCUUGAGUAUUAAACUAGAGUAUUUUGCUAGGCUUGACCGAAUCUCUGACUCCCCUCAUUAUUUUUAAACAAUUCGCAGGAGUUGCGUCUCUUUUCGGGUAGCCAGCUUAACGUGCUCGCAAAUUACGCGCUUUUUAAGGUCCCUCACAAAACCUGACCAUAUAAGGAGUUGAUUGGCAACCGAAACAACAACGAAGGCAACCAAAACAUGAGCAAAACAUACACAAAUGGCUAUUAUUGUGAGGUAGCCAAACAACAACACAAAGUGCCACGAUUGCGUAUCAAGCACAUGGUCGCCGCCCCUCCUCAUUUUCACCCCCGCCCCACGCCCACAGUCAAAAACUUUUCAUUCAUUCACCCGACGCCUGCUGCUCCCAUUUCCCUUUAUAAGUUACGGGAUUUUAUAAACUUAUCCGUAGGCCGGUUAAAUAUUUUACCCGUGCAAAUCACCUUUGAUCAGCAUAUCGUCUUUAGUAAGAUAAGCUUCAAUAAAGAUAGCCAAGACGAAAUUACUGAUAAAAAGGCUAUCUCUAUACUUUAAAAAAACUGGAUGUUUUGGAUUUCCAUAUCCUAGGAAAUACUCGAGAUGUUUUGAGUUUUCAAGUAUUCUUGAGGAACAUUUACGUAAUAUUAAGAUUGCAAUAUAAAGACAACAGUAAUAAAAUUAUAGGUGACUGAUAUUAAAUUAUUAUUUCCGAAUGAUGCACAUUAAUACACAUUUAACUAAUCUCCUAUUUGGUUUAUUCCCCUAAUGAAUAAUAGGUAUAUUACUUGGAAAGAGUAUUCAUAAAGCUGGUUUAACCCAUUUCCUCUGUUAGUUUUUGGUUUGAUAGCCCGGUUGUGUGACCUUGCUGAAUACUUUUUUGUGUUGUUUUUUGCAAAUCUAAUCCAAAUUCCAAAUGAAGCGAAUUUCAGAAAUGGAAAUGUGUUUUCAAUUGGCAUUUGCAUGUUAAGCUGUGUAGUAGAGCUAAUCGUAAUUUGAGCAAUAAAUGUAAAGCGCAAAAGGGAAUUAUCUGCUACAAUGGCGACAUGUAGAGCUUGUAUUUUCAGGGAUUGUACAUGGCAAUGAAAUUAGUUGUAUAAUAUAGAGUUGGAUUACCCAGUUCAUGAUGAGUAGAAAUCUUUGGACUCUCUGUGUGAAUUUAUGCAUUCAACAUCUGCUGAAAUUUGCAUAUCCUGCAUACAGGCACACUUAAUUUCAAAAUUUGAAUGUGUCGCGGAUUUUGAAUGCUCCAUCAAUCAAGCCAAGAUUAAUAGCCUGCAAUCGCGGUUGAUAAUUUUUCGUACUUUUUUUUGCUGCCUGAGCUCAUCAGUGACAAUUUGUCAAUCGUUAACCCAACCCAAAUGGGCAACCAUGUGAUAAGGACGAGGUUUCACAAUGCAAAGAGGACAACAAAAUGAGCAGUAAUUAGAAAUUUAUAGAUAAAAACAAUAAAUACAAAGCCCCGUAUAAAGACAUCAAAAAAAUCACUAUAUGAUGAGGGGAAAGGGACCAGAGGAACGGGUCCAAAAGGGCCUGGGAUCCACACACCAUCCCCACCGUGCGAGUAACUGAGACGGGGCAUACGGACAUGCUAAUCACGAACACAACGAAACGGCACGGACAUAAUGGACAAAACAAAAACGAAGAAGAACGAGAACAAGAACGAGAGAGAGAGCAACACACAAUAAAACCCACAAAUAAAACCCGAUUCGAGAAAAACCCGCUGCCUGCUGCCGUUCCUCGGCGCCUGUUCAAAUAAGUUUCAAAUUUUGACAAAUAAAACCAUGGUUUUGUAAUUUACGAGCAUUCCGAGCUAUUUUCAUAAUGAUUGAGCGCGAGUUGAGUGGAGUGUUUGCCGUUGUCGUUGCCGUUCUCGAUUCUCAGGCUCUCGAGAACUCGACAUCUCAACAUCUCGGGUCCCAGUUCCCAGGGGAGUUAAAAGUAUAAAAUGCAAAAAACAAAGUAAGGACCUCUCGUGUCUCUUAUUUAUUCUGCUUCUGCUUCGGCUUCUCUUUCUCCAGCCUACCAGCCGUGCAAUAAAACGGGAUUAUGAACGAGUGUGUUUUCGGUGUUUGUUUGUAUAUACGCAGGUACAGUGGAAGUUCCCUAAGUUGUUUUCAGAUGUAUUUCGAUGGAUUGACUCAAUUAUUAACGUAAUAAUAAGUUGAUGCAUGUAAUUAAAGCAAUCAUAUUUUGCAUGUAAAGCUCCACUUAGGCAUUAAGUUCCAAGUUCCCCUGUCCGAGGUUUCACUGUGCGCAUUGAGUCCUUCUUUAACCAGUUGGUAGGGACAGGAGGUCGCUCUUGCUGCAGGCUGCUCGGGUGGCGGUUGAUGGAGCCUAAAGAAGCUGCAGCCGACGGACGGAAUGUGUCUAGACGUUUGAUUACCGGGACAGAAGCAGAAGCAGACGCAGAAGCCGCGAGGUCGUGGCACAGUGGACUUAAACCGAGCUUUGGGCGGGCUUUCAUCGGCGUUGCCUUCGGUUUAGAAUGCCAUUUUAUUGGUUUGUCUGGCUUGGCUUUACUCCAGACUCAAGCUGAUAUAAAGUGUUUGCUUAUCAGCUCUUUUUCGUUCCCAGGCGUCCUAUGCUUAAGUGCCUGUUGGUUUUUUCAUCAGAGACACAGUGGUGUGGCGAAGAUAAUGGGAUAAUUGCGAAAAUGGGUGGGUAAUAAGGCUGGAAAUUUAUGGCACCAUGCCCGACGGUGAUUGGAAAAUGAAAUUAAUAGAAUCCGGUUUGCACUUCUAAUAAGUGAUCCUCUAAACAGGUUCAAUUAAAACCAAUAACUAUAUUACAUCAAAAUAUUUUGUAUCUGUAUCUGUACUAGCUAUAAAUAUUUACCACUAAAGAAUUUCUGUUAAGGAUCGCUGAGGAUACGAAAAAAAUAAGUUAAUACAUUAUCCGGUUUGCAAGGCAAGAAACAAUAAUCAUUAGAAAACAAGGAUCUGAGGUAGACAAUCCGGUUUGGAGAUUACGUCAUGAAGCCAGUUUAUAAGCCCGGUUCAGGUCGAAAUGCUCAAAUCGCAUUCCUGAAUUCGCCACACACUAUCGGUUUUGGGUACACGAUUCUCAAGGUAACCCGAUGCCAGCCAAUUCCCGUGACAUGAAGGAAGGCACGUAAUCUUUUUCAGGGAUGUUGGCAAUCGGAAUCUGGCUCUUUUCUACCUGACUGCAUUCGACAUUUGCGCGUAUUAUUCAAAUCGUCAGUUUUUCGUCACAGUACAUUAAUAAGCAUUAUGUCACCCUUUGUUAUUUUGUGCAUAUUUUAAAUCCAUAUUUCUCCAUUUAUAAAUGUAUAUUUAAAUUGCGCAUUUCACAGCUGAGACUGCCAGUAAUGUGUAGAGUUGAUAAGACGCUGCUUUAAGUGAGUGUUGUUUUAUAUCAAAAGACAUGCAAAGGAAAUCUAUUGAAAAUGUAGUUUAAAAUUAUAUAUUCGAGCUCUUUUUACUAAGGAAAAGCUGUAGUCAAAACGUCUUAGGACUUGACAUCAUUAAGGAAUUUAAUAAAUUAACUUUUGUUACUGUGCCUUUGAUUUGACACUUAUGCCAACCACUGUGCCUCUGAAGUACAAGGACUUUCGAUGGUUGAGCUAAAUUUUUUCAACAUUUGGGGGUUUUUUUUGCACAAAGGUCAAAGGGGCGCAAAUCAAACGGGGGCCUUGACUUUUGCACUUUUGGCAAAUGUUUUUUACAGCAGGACAUUCAGAAAAUCGGACGGAGGAUAAAACAAGAACAAAUAAAAUACAAGCACAAAUACCGAAAGACGUGUAACUCACCACGAGGAGGGUGUCUCCGGAGGUGAAGGUGUAUAAACUGGAAUUUCUGCC